UACGUAGGGGGCUAGCGUUGCUCGGAAUCACUGGGCGUAAAGGGUGCGUAGGCGGGUUUUUAAGUCAGAGGUGAAAUCCUGGAGCUCAACUCCAGAACUGCCUUUGAUACUGGGAAUCUUGAGUAUGGAAGAGGUGAGUGGAACUGCGAGUGUAGAGGUGAAAUUCGUAGAUAUUCGCAAGAACACCAGUGGCGAAGGCGGCUCACUGGUCCAUAACUGACGCUGAGGCACGAAAGCGUGAGGAGCAAACAGG
rnacentral:rRNA from 1 species